GUUUUGGGACGAGAUGGAGCUCAGAAGACCGGGUUUUAGUCUCUUUCUAGGGUUUUUGUUUGUGUAUUUGAUGGUUCCUAAUUCUCUAGCGAGAUUUGUGGUGGAGAACAACAGCUUGAGGGUGACAUCGCCGGAAAAAAUAAAGGGGACGCAUGAUAGUGCGAUAGGGAAUUUUGGGAUGCCACAAUACGGGGGUAGUAUGGCAGGGACUGUGGCUUACCCUAAAGAUAACAGUAAGGGCAGUAAGGAGUUUGAUGAUUUUGGGAUUUCUUUCAAGUGUAAGCCUGGAGCUUUACCGACUUUUGUCUUGCUCGAUCGUGGAGACUGCUUCUUUGCUUUG
rnacentral:misc_RNA from 1 species